rnacentral:tRNA from 1 species
GCCUGGGUGGCUCAGUUGGUUGAGUGUCUGACUUUGGCUCAGGUCAUGAUCUCAUGGUUCGUGAGUUCUAGCCCCCCAUCAGGCU